rnacentral:rRNA from 1 species
UACGUAGGUGGCAAGCGUUGUCCGGAUUUAUUGGGUUUAAAGGGUGCGUAGGCGGCUUUGUAAGUCAGUGGUGAAAUAUGGCAGCUCAACUGUCAAGGUGCCAUUGAUACUGCAGAGCUUGAGUACAGAUGAGGUAGGCGGAAUUGACGGUGUAGCGGUGAAAUGCUUAGGUAUCGUCAAGAACACCUAUAGCGAAGGCAGCUUACUAGGCUGUAACUGACGCUGAGGCACGAAAGUGUGGGGAUCAAACAGG